AUUGAACGCUGGCGGCAGGCCUAACACAUGCAAGUCGAGCGGAUGAGUGGAGCUUGCUCCAUGAUUCAGCGGCGGACGGGUGAGUAAUGCCUAGGAAUCUGCCUGGUAGUGGGGGGACAACGUUUCGAAAGGAACGCUAAUACCGCAUACGUCCUACGGGAGAAAGCAGGGGACCUUCGGGCCUUGCGCUAUCAGAUGAGCCUAGGUCGGAUUAGCUAGUAGGUGAGGUAAUGGCUCACCUAGGCGACGAUCCGUAACUGGUCUGAGAGGAUGAUCAGUCACACUGGAACUGAGACACGGUCCAGACUCCUACGGGAGGCAGCAGUGGGGAAUAUUGGACAAUGGGCGAAAGCCGUGAUCCAGCCGAUGCCGCGUGUGUGAAGAAGGUCCUAUGGA
rnacentral:rRNA from 1 species